rnacentral:rRNA from 1 species
AACGAACGCUGGCGGCAUGCCUAACACAUGCAAGUCGAACGAUGGCUUCGGCCAUAGUGGCGGACGGGUGAGUAGCGCGUGGGAACCUGCCCCGAGGUACGGAAUAACCGCUGGAAACGGCGGCUAAUACCGUAUGAGCCCUGAGGGGGAAAGAUUUAUCGCCUUGGGAGGGGCCCGCGUCCGAUUAGGUAGUUGGUGAGGUAAAGGCUCACCAAGCCUGCGAUCGGUAGCUGGUCUGAGAGGAUGAUCAGCCACACUGGGACUGAGACACGGCCCAGACUCCUACGGGAGGCAGCAGUGGGGAAUAUUGCGCAAUGGGCGAAAGCCUGACGCAGCGACGCCGCGUGGUGAUGAAGGCCUU